rnacentral:rRNA from 1 species
GACGAACGCUGGCGGCAUGCCUAAUACAUGCAAGUCGAGCGAACAGAUGAAGUGCUUGCACUUCUGACGCUAGCGGCGAACGGGUGAGUAACACGUAAGGAAUCUACCUAUAAGCGGGGGAUAACAUUCGGAAACGGGUGCUAAUACCGCAUAAUAUCUUCUUCCGCAUGGAAGAAGAUUGAAAGACGGCUCUGCUGUCACUUAUAGAUGACCUUGCGGUGCAUUAGUUAGUUGGUGGGGUAAUGGCCUACCAAGACGAUGAUGCAUAGCCGGCCGUAGAGGGUGAUCGGCCACACUGGGACUGAGACAAGGCCCAAACUCCUACGGGAGGCAGCAGUAGGGAAUCUUCCGCAAUGGGCGAAGGCCUGACGGAGCAAUGCCGCGUGAGUGAAGAGGGCCUUCGGGUCGUAAAACUCUGUUAUAAGAGAAGAACAAAUUGUAGAGUAACUGCUACAGUCUUGACGGUAUCUUAUCAGAAAGCCACGGCUAACUACGUGCCAGCCGCCGCAGUAA